rnacentral:rRNA from 1 species
UACGUAGGUCCCGAGCGUUGUCCGGAUUUAUUGGGCGUAAAGCGAGCGCAGGUGGUUUAAUAAGUCUAAUGUAAAAGGCAGUGGCUCAACCAUUGUGUGCAUUGGAAACUGUUAGACUUGAGUGCAGUAGAGGAGAGUGGAAUUCCAUGUGUAGCGGUGAAAUGCGUAGAUAUAUGGAGGAACACCGGUGGCGAAAGCGGCUCUCUGGACUGUCACUGACACUGAGGCUCGAAAGCGUGGGUAGCAAACAGG